rnacentral:rRNA from 1 species
UGGUGGAGUGAUUUGUCUGGUUAAUUCCGUUAACGAACGAGACCUCAGCCUAUUAAUUAGUUUGGCUAAUCUUCGGAUUGGUUCAGACUUCUUAGAGGGACUAUCGGUGUUUCAGCCGAUGGAAGUUUGAGGCAAUAACA